rnacentral:rRNA from 1 species
AUUGAACGCUGGCGGCAGGCCUAACACAUGCAAGUCGAACGAGUCGCGCACGGGUGAGUAAUGUCGGGGAAACUGCCUGAUGGAGGGGGAUAACUACUGGAAACGGUAGAUAAUACCGCAUACCAGCAGAUGCUCCAAGAUGAGUUGAGCUUGUGGGUGGGGUAACGGCUCACCAAGGCGACUAUCCCUAGCUGGUCUGAGAGGAUGACCAGCCACACUGGAACUGAUACACGGCCCAGACUCCUACGGGAGGCAGCAGUGGGGAAUAUUGCACAAUGGGCGCAAGCCUGAUGCAGCCAUGCCGCGUGUAUGAAGAAGGCCUUCGGGUUGUAAAGUACUUUCAGCGGGGAGGCGUUACCCGCAGAAGAAGCACCGGCUAACUCCGUGCCAGCCGCCGCGGUAAUAC